CAGAGUUUAGCUAAGGAUAGUAUAGCAUCUCCCUUACACUGAGAAGUCCCCCGUGCGAAUCGGGUUGCUCUGA
rnacentral:tRNA from 1 species